UACAGAGGGUGCAAGCGUUGUUCGGAAUUAUUGGGCGUAAAGCGCGUGUAGGCGGCUUUGCAAGUCGGGUGUGAAAGCCCUCAGCUCAACUGAGGAAGUGCGCCCGAAACUGCAGAGCUUGAGUGCCGGAGAGGGUGGCGGAAUUCCCCAAGUAGAGGUGAAAUUCGUAGAUAUCGGGAGGAACACCAGUGGCGAAGGCGGCGACCUGGGCCAAUAUUGACGCUGAGGUGCGAAAGCGUGGGGAGCAAACAGG
rnacentral:rRNA from 1 species